UGCUCUGUGGGAUCAGUGGCGAACGGGUGAGUAACACGUGAGCAACCUGCCCCUGACUCUGGGAUAAGCGCUGGAAACGGCGUCUAAUACUGGAUACAAGUAGCGGCCGCAUGGUCAGUUACUGGAAAGAUUUUUUGGUUGGGGAUGGGCUCGCGGCCUAUCAGCUUGUUGGUGAGGUAAUGGCUCACCAAGGCGUCCACGGGUAGCCGGCCUGAGAGGGUGACCGGCCACACUGGGACUGAGACACGGCCCACACUCCUACGGGAGGCAGCAGUGGGGAAUAUUGCACAAUGGGCGGAAGCCUGAUGCAGCAACGCCACGUGAGGGAUGACGGCCUUCGGGUUGUAAACCUCUUUUAGCAGGGAAGAAGCGAAAGUGACGGUACCUGCAGAAAAAGCGCCGGCUAACUACGUGCCAGCAGCCGCGGUAAUACGUAGGGCGCAAGCGUUAUCCGGAAUUAUUGGGCGUAAAGAGCUCGUAGGCGGUUUGUCGCGUCUGCUGUGAAAUCCCGAGGCUCAACCUCGGGCCUGCAGUGGGUACGGGCAGACUAGAGUGCGGUAGGGGAGAUUGGAAUUCCUGGUGUAGCGGUGGAAUGCGCAGAUAUCAGGAGGAACACCGAUGGCGAAGGCAGAUCUCUGGGCCGUAACUGACGCUGAGGAGCGAAAGGGUGGGGAGCAAACAGGCUUAGAUACCCUGGUAGUCCACCCCGUAAACGUUGGGAACUAGUUGUGGGGUCCAUUCCACGGAUUCCGUGACGCAGCUAACGCAUUAAGUUCCCCGCCUGGGGAGUACGGCCGCAAGGCUAAAACUCAAAGGAAUUGACGGGGACCCGCACAAGCGGCGGAGCAUGCGGAUUAAUUCGAUGCAACGCGAAGAACCUUACCAAGGCUUGACAUAUACGAGAACGGGCCAGAAAUGGUCAACUCUUUGGACACUCGUAAACAGGUGGUGCAUGGUUGUCGUCAGCUCGUGUCGUGAGAUGUUGGGUUAAGUCCCGCAACGAGCGCAACCCUCGUUCUAUGUUGCCAGCACGUAAUGGUGGGAACUCAUGGGAUACUGCCGGGGUCAACUCGGAGGAAGGUGGGGAAGACGUCAAAUCAUCAUGCCCCUUAUGUCCUGGGCUUCACGCAUGCUACAAUGGCUGGUACAAAGGGCUGCAAUACCGCGAGGUGGAGCGAAUCCCAAAAAGCCGGUCCCAGUUCGGAUUGAGGU
rnacentral:rRNA from 1 species